CCAGCUUGAUCUCGGGAGCAAUGAGGGGCAGCGGAAAGGUUCACACAGAAAACAUUCGGUUUUAUUUCAGCAAAGAUGAGCACAACCUGGGGUCCCAGAGGAUUGUGAAAAUAGCCCUGAGGAGCUGCCCGGGGAGGCAAGACCAAGCAAGGAUAAAUAAAAAGAAAUCCAAGGAGCUAGAGCCAAGAGAUUAGCAUCAGUACUUCUAACUGGGGAACUCUGACAAAGCUUUGGAGAAGGUGCCACUUAAGUUGGCUUUGAUGGGCACGAGAAUUCGGCUAGGCAGUGAGAAAAAGGGAGGCUUCAAGAUCCAGACUAGAAACACUAGCUGUGGGAACGUGGGGUCCAGCAGGCAGGUCUGUGAGGUGAAGCAGCAAAGGAAGGCAAGGUGGGGAAUCUGUGGUCUUUUGUGUGAGGUGAACCUUGUUUAUUAUGUCACCCAGGGAGACCUGUUGCUAGCACACAGGUUACAUCAGGCAUUGUCCUCAUGGGAGGUUCCAGACAGGUGCUCACCCCUCCCUGUCAGGCCCUCACCCAAACUAUCUCUGAGAGGAUCAGAGUACCCGGGGCCUGAAGCUGCAUGCUUCUCCACACCCAUACCUAUUACUCAGGAAGACCAGGCUAGAGAGUACAAGCACAGAGCCCGGUGAUAAUGGACUGAUUUAAUACACAAAUAAAUGAAUAAGAAAUGGAUGAACUGAAAACAAAUAUAUUUGAAUAAAUAAUAUUGAAAACUUUGAGGGGAAGUCACAAAAUAAAUGUGUGUGUGGUGUGUGUGUGUGUGUGUGUGUGUGUGUGUGUGUGUGUCUGCUCACACAUGCAUGCAUACAUCCUUAAACAAAGUGGGGGGGGGAGUGUAAGCAACACUUCUUCCUCCACCACUGCUUUUCCUACAGCACACCCUCCCCUGCUAGCUCCCCACAGAGCCAAGCCCUAGAUGCCCCAGCAUAGGAAAACCCAGCCCUGCCCCGAGCUAUAUUCCUGGACUUGCAGGCUCUCCCUUGCUCCUCUGAGGGAGCUCCAGAGACUGUUCUAGGCCCUUUGACACCAAUACUCCUCCUAAGAUCCAUUUCCUGCCAAGGCUCAAGGGAGACUGCCAGCUCAUUCCUCAGUCCACCCUCAAUCAUGCCAGGGCCUUCCCAUCUCCCUUUGCGCCUCAGUUUCUCCAGCUCAUUCCCCCAGAGCACGCUGAGGACAGAUGGCCGCGAUGCCUCAUCCUAUAGGUCCCUCCUAAUCUCAUACCUUACAUCCAAGGAGGCCAGACAUCCUUGUCCCCUGUGGUCUUUUUGCAUCCACUGGCUCAGGACCUCAUCUGUCACCCAUGUCACCCGUGUCACAGUAAUACAGGGACCAAAUAACAGCAUACUGUGAGAAAAGCAGUCACCAAUUCAACCUUCCAGCCAGCUGUGGGGACUUGGGUAACAGUGACCUUCAUAGGCUCAUUUGAGUUUCCACUCUGGAUGCCCAUACUUAGAGAGAGUAAUGCUACCACCUCAACAACAACGACGGAAGCAGAAAAACGGACUUGUAUUACGCUUCACCAAGGCCAUAAGAAAACCCAGGGUGAGACCUAAGGAGCACCGAGAGAUGGAGCCCUCAUGGUGGCUUAUACAGAAGCUACAUAUCAGUAAGGACUCAGCUAGUCUUCCGCGAAGACUCCAAGGUGAAGGAGAAUACAAGGAAAGCAUCCCCCACGAUUCAAGCUAGAGAAAGAAAUAGCAGCCAUUGGGGGAGUGUGAUGGUUUGAAUGUGAAUCAUGUCUCACAGGCUCAUUCUUUGCGUACUUUUUCCCGUCCAGUGACACUAUUCUGGAAGGUUGUCAAAUCUUUAGGGGGUAUAGGUAUGGCUAGUGGAACGUCAUUAAUUAAGGGUCAGCCUUUGAAGGUUAUAUAUAACCCCUGGCUCUGGUCCCGGUCUCUGCUUCCUGGUUUACUGCUACGUAAAGAACUACACCCACACACUCCCCCCCCCUGCCAUGAACUCUGCCAUGCUCUCCCCACCACUAAGACUGUCUGAAACCAUGAGCAAAACUAAGUAUCUCAGUCCGUAAGUUGUUCUGUCGGUGUUCUGUCUCCCAAGCUCAAAAGCAGCUACUAUAGGGAUGGUCACAAAACCCCAUCUAGAUGUCACUCCCCACCUCCCCUAGAGAACAAAAUGAUUUUCUCUAUAGCAGAAAGAGCAAUACCUCAGGACACCGCUGAACAUUCUUUGGAGCUGGAGGAAGAGGGGGAGACUUCCAUGCCUGGAGGAGGGCAGGAACAUGUCCCAGAGUCACAUGGGAAGUUCUGACCCCAGCAGACAACAGAACACAGUGGAGUUCCUCAGGCACAGGUACAGGGCUGAUGUUGGAACUGUUUGCCACGGGGCUUGAAUAUCUGAGGCCGCUGUGUUAAAGGUGAAAUGGAAAAUAUGAGCAGUAUGGUAGAUGAGCAAACAGGAAGGGAGAGAGUGGGAAAGAAGGCCUGUUUCAGUGUGCUCACUAGCAGACUCGGUGGGGUUGAGCAAAGAGCUGGCGAACGUUGGUAGGAGUUUCCCAAUCUGUGACACAAACAAAAGAGAGCAAAACAGCCACAACCGGUGCCAAACGUCAUCCAGCAGCAUGAGUCUCGAUUAGAAGAAACAAAGGGAAAAACGUACCAGGGAUAUUUGAAUAAAUAAUGACUGAGAAUUUUCCAAAAUUUCUGCAGACACCGAGCUGUAGGUCACAAGAGCUCGCUGAUGCCAAGAUGAACAGGAAAGUUAUAAACAUGUCCAGGAAUAGCAUAUGAAAACCCUUAAAUUAGAAAGGGGAACAUGGAGAAGGCGAGUGGAGAGGUUUUUUUUUUAAAAGCGUUCCCAUUGCUGUGAACAGACACCACGACCAAGGCAUUAUGUAUGAAGGAACAAAGGAAAAUCGUAGCAGAUCUCUUGCUGGAAGUCAAAUCGUGCACAUCAAAAAAAAUAAGUAGUGGAGUGUGUUGUGGUAAAUAUGAAUUGGGGGUUUCUAGCUGUGGUGGUUGGUAUGUGCUUGGCCCAGACAGUGGCUCUAUCAGGAGGUGUGGCCUUUUGGAGUAGGUGUGGCCUUGAUGAAGGAAGUGUGUAACUGUCGGGUGUACUUGGCUUCCUUUGGAUGAAGAUGUAGACUCAGCCUUCCUGAAUGCUGCUGUGUUUCCUGCCUUGAUGAUAAUGGACUGAACCUCUGAACCUCUAAGCCAGCCCCAAUUAAAUGUUGUCAAGUGUAAGAGUUGCCUUGGUCAUGGUGUCUGUUCACAGCAAUGGAAACGCUAGGACACUACCCCAUGUUAGAUCAUUUAGUUCCCAAUAAAAGACACAAAACCUCUAUAUUUAUAGUAAAAUAGGGCUGGGAAGAUAACCACCCUCUGUGCUGUUUUGUCUACUUCCCUGUCAACAGCCCUGAGAUAUCGCUGGUCAUGUUCUGACUGAGCUGUUCCCACCCCAAGAGGCCGGUGCUCAUGGCCAUGUUUUCAUAACCCACCUACCUACUCCAUGGCAUCUUCUCUCUUCUCCUCUUUCUCUGCGCUCCUCAUCGUCUCUGCCUCAGACCCCAAGCCUGCCAACUGAAACUCCUCUGACCUCUCUUCUGUCCAGCCAUAGGCUGUAGGCAUCUUUAUUUAACCAAUAGUUUUAAAUUAAGGCACAAGGUUACACAGCAUUACUUGGUCUAUGAGGAUCUUUUCAUUCCCGAGAAUCUCCUCUUUGGGGACAACCAGAUCUUGUGGGGCCAGUAUUUAGCGUUAUAAUACAUAGCAAUAGGCUAAGCCUCAACAGGAGUGAGUGACAGUUUUUUUUCUUUUUUCUUUUUUUUUUUUUUUCGGAGCUGGGAAGUGACAGUUUUAAAAGCCGUUGGAAGAUGUGUAAACCGAUGAAGAUAUGUUGGCCUACUCAAGGGUUAAUUCCGGUCCCCACUGUGGGUCUACAUAAGGAUGGAGAAAGAUAAUUGACUUCACAAAAUUGUCUUCUAACUUCCAAGUUCACCGACUGGGGCCCACACAUUCAAGUAUAUGAGCCUUUGAAGCCGUUCUUAUUCCAACCACCACACCCAGGACUCAAAGUCCCAGGCAGGAAUUGCAGUAAGACUUCAUAGACCAGCGCUUCUCUCAGCCCUCAUCAGAGAACACUUCCUGCAAUAGAGAGAACAAGAAAGAGAAGACAUGAAGCUGUGUGGACAGGGAGGUAGGAAGGAUCUAUGAGAAGUUGAGGGAGGGGAAAGAACAUGAUCAAAAUAUAUUGUAUAAAAAUCUCAAUAAAAUGAAAAAAUAAAACAAA